AACUCAAGUGUCCAUCAAGGGGUGAGUGGCUGAUAUCCACACAGUGGAGUAUUAGCCAUAAUAAGAAAUGAAGUGCUAGUACAUGCCACAACACGGAUGAACCUUGGAAACAUCACGCUAACUAAGUAAAAGUCACCUGUCACAAAAGACCAUACAUUGCAUGAUGCCACUGGUAUAACACGUCCAGACAGGCAAGUCCAUAGAGACAGAAAGCAGAUUCGUGGCUGCCAGGGACUUGGGGAAGUUGAGGGGGCAGGGGGUUUCUUCUUGGAGUGAUGAAAACGUUCUAAAAUUGCCUGUGCUGACGGUUGCACAAGUCUGUGAAAAACCAUGAAAUUGUACACUUUAAAUAGCAGAAUUGCAUGGCGUAUAAAUUAUAUCUCAAUACAGCUGUUACAAAACAAAAACCCUAUGGCGGCUCUCCUUAGACUCCUGGGCUGGGCUGGGCCAAGGACGGAAGGAAGCCUUCAUAAGUAAUAUAUACAAAUACCUCAAAAAAAGGAAGCUGCCACUGACCACGCUAGUGGGUGCUGCUCACUGCCCUGGGGGUGCCCCACGAGGCUGUAGCCAAAAUAGUGCAAGGAGAGAGGCCUUUUUGAAUUGGUGGAAAUAUCAGGAGCUGCUUUAUUUCCUGGGGCAGGCUUUUCUCAGAGCCAUUCCAGUCUAUUAAGCUGAGGUUACUGAGCUCUGGUUGUCUUCCCAGAGGCCCAGGCUGUACCAGUCCUAUGACAGCUCUCCUUCCUCUCCAGUCAGGAGACGUCUGCUUUCCCAGCCCGCCCCCACCAGCCUCAGCCUCUGCCCUUCUCUGCCCCCACCCCUCCUCAGCUGGGGAAAGAAGAGUCAAUGCAGCCAGCUAUGUAAGAAAACAGAUACCUCACUCUCACCCGGACCUGUUCCUUGAAACUGAGGCCAUUCAAGGCUACAUUUUCCAGCUUCCAGAAGCAAGCACGAAGUUGCACUAUUUUGCGGUCUACAGCUUUGACAGGGGUGGGGAAAAGGGCAGGUGACCAGCUAGAGCAUGGCAAAGCAGCGGUUGCAGCCAAGGUGGCCGGCUUCUGGGCAUUUCUUGAAAGGGAGCAGGGGCAAGAGGCAGCACUGGAGAGGAUGGUGGUAUGGACAAAGAGGACCAAAGGAAGCAAAACAGUUUCAUACACUUUGGCCAUGAUCAGAGGAUCAAGCUACCCUGAGGUCUGAGGGCAAGGAACCAAUGCAAGAAAUUAGAAUUCUAUUUGGAAACAGAGAAAUCAAAGCAGACUUAAAAGAAGAGGUAUGAAAAAUAGCACCCACCACAAGGGCUCUCUGCCAGGGUUGGGGCCAAGCCAGGCUUGGGUAUUUGGAAAAGGCUUCGUAGGAGAUUUGGCUGUGUCUUCUUUAACCUCCCCAAGCCCUCCAUCAUGAGAAUCACUGGCCUAAAAGCAAACUGAAGGGUCAGAUGGAAAACAAACAGGAGCUUGAAGAAAAUGAGAAGUCCAGAGGCGCAGAGUGGGCGUACUUGGACAGCCUGGCUGGGGGGCUUUGGCAGGCUCAAGCUGGGAGACACAUUGAACCUAAGGUCAAGAAAAGAGGACACCUGUCCUACCUUGCCGUUCACUGCAUAAUGCCUGGGGUCUUAAAAGCUUGCAAGUGGCCAUUCAAGGCACAACAAUUGGUCUCUAUUUGUCUGUGCAACAGAGGAAGGAGAGUCAGGAAUAGGAGGAGGGUAUGGAAUGCGUGGCUAAUUGCCUCCAUGAACAACUGCCUCCUUUGCCAUGAGACCAGGAGAACGGGAUGGUGCCCGGUUACCAUAACUGAACACUUUGAUCAAGAUUCUAUAGAAGUAUCCCUAUCAAAAGGGGGAAAAUGCAGAAUAGAAUUUCAAAUUCUCAUAAACUCCAGACUUUCUGGAGCCAGGAAGGUUGGACGAACCUCUGCAACUACUGCCCUGAGAUAAUCUUUAAACCUUAAACCAAAACUAUCCUCUGAAGUCUUAAAACCAACAAUACUAUUAACUAUUGUUGUCUGCCUUGAGCAUUAUGCUCUUUUAAGAACUAUCUAUAGGGGAUCAAAUUGACAACAGCAACUCAAAAGAGUAGACAGGAACCUUAGCAGCAACGAGUUUAUGUUAAUAGGAGGAAGAACAACUCAGAAAAGGAGGAUGAGAAUGGUUGCACAACUUGAAGCAUGUAAUCAAUGUCACUAAAUGGUUCACGCAGAAACUAAUUGGUGUAUGUUUUGCUGUGUAUAUUCUCAACAACAACAACAACAAAAAGAAGAUGGGUCACAGUAACUCAUGUGAGUGGGGUUGCUCACUUGCAGAAAAGCUGUGCAACUCUGGAGUCGUUUUUAUGAGAAAAAUGACAACAUGAGACAAAUUCCCUAGGUAGAACUAGUUAAAAAAAAAAACAA